rnacentral:rRNA from 1 species
CACGUAGGUUGCGAGCGUUACUCGGAAUCACUAGGCGUAAAGCGCGUGUAGGCGGUAUUUUAAGUCUGUUGUGAAAUCUUAUGGCUCAACCAUAAAAUGUCGACAGAUACUGAAGUACUAGAGUGAGGCAGGGGAAACUGGAAUUCCAGGUGUAGCGGUGGAAUGCGUAGAUAUCUGGAAGAACGCCAAAGGCGAAGGCAGGUUUCUGGGCCUUUACUGACGCUGAGGCGCGAAAGCUAGGGGAGCAAACAGG